UAUGGUUUUUGAGCUGUUGAAGGCGUCGUCGUAACUGCCUUAUGCUUGAAACACGUGGGAGGCCAUGCCAUAAGCCGGUGACGGGAAAGGCGAUGCUUGAUUUCCUUACAACGAGUCUUAACCUAACCCAUUUGCCCAAUUCCUGCAUCAAAGACUUCAUCAAGCAACCACUCGAUAACAGUGGCCCAAAGGGGUGCUGUGGGGCCCCCCCAGUGGGUUCACAGCCCUUUCCGUACUACGUGGACGGCAACAGAAACGUAUGACAGGAGCCGAAAAAUGCAAAACAGACAAAAUCUAAACGCCUUUGUAAACAACUGAACAACAUAUCGUUAAUUAAUAUUCUUCGUCUUGUCGACACCAGCUGCAAAUCAUCUCCAGCAUUCCCCCCGCAACUUAUCCGUGCAUCAUAAGUGCAGAUGCGCAGAUUGUUGUUGCUGUGGCUUUAUUAAUAUUGGGAAUCGCUGGAAAAUCGGAUACUAGUGGAUACCCUUAUCAAAACGACGGCUUAGCCUCCCCCGUGCGAACUUUGGCGUUUCUCUCCUUCAUAGCCUCCUUGCGCUCAGCACGUCUGCGAUUAAGCAAGGAAUCCCCAAUCAGAAACAGCAGGUGAACAUGAAAGAAGGGUUUGCAUGUGUGGAAAGGAUACCUUGCCUUGCCUACCGAGGUGCAUGUACGCCCUGACCCGGCACGAGACAGACAGACUUACAUCCCUACAUAUACUUGCUAACCCCCCAAGACUUACUGUUGCUGCAACAGCUCAGCCCUGCUCAACUUCUUGUUUGCAGCUGCUUGUGCAACAGGUGCGCUUAGCGCCGAAGCAGCGAGGGGCGACAGGAUCGCGCCCAAAACUGAGCGACGGGAGACUGGUACCGGCACAGGUGCCGGAAUCUGAAAAAAAGGACAGGAACAGGUCAAAAGCAAAGAUGUUAUGGUCACAUAGCGAAAUGAGGCAGAUGCAAGGGCAAGGCAGGCUUUCAACCGGCUGACGUGGAAAGCGCCGCAUGCCAUCCCGGCGAGUUGCAUAGGCUAGUUUCCCGAUCGUGACGUUUUUUCCACAGUGAAAUGUAUCCUGGAAAUUUCUUCCCGGAUGCUUACUGGGCUGGAUUGCUGAGCAGCCACUGUCAUUGUUGCCUUGCGCAGAGUUGCCAUGGUUGGUAAGAGCUCUCCGACAGCAGAGCGAGCCUACAAAGGCAAUAUCGAGGCUCCUUAUCGUCCGAAGGCUCGCGACAGAUGAUCUCGCGAAAGCAUUCCUUUCAGACCCUCACCACCAGGGAAUGAGCAGUAUUGACCGACAGGUAACCAGAUGGUUCCACAACUAAAGACAACCCUUAUAACAUAACCACGAAAAAGCCCCGAAGCGGUUGAUAACAUUCACCUCUUAACCUGUCGCUCUUCCCGUACCUUUGACCGAGAGUGUUUGACUUUUUUUUGCUAAGUCGAUGUGGC
rnacentral:lncRNA from 1 species